rnacentral:tRNA from 1 species
UCCCUGGUGGCUAAGAUGGUAAAGAAUCUGCCUGCAAUGCGGGAGACCCAGGUUCAAUCCCUGAGUUGGGAA